CAGACUCUGUCCUAGUGGAGAAUUCUGUUCCCUUUGGAUGCUGGAUGGUUUUCCUUGGUGCAGUGACUCUGUGUGCCCUAGGAUUGCGAGUCUGGAUCUGGUCGCGGAGGAUGUGAAGGUGGAGGCAAUGCAGCUGAAUGACAGACUGAUGACCCAGUAUGAGACCCAGAAAAAGAAGUUUUUGUUGCAGCUGGACUAUCUGCUGGAUGACCUGCGUGAUCAAAAUCGCGUAGUAGAUGAAGAGGAGGAGGUCCAGAUGUAAGGGAGAUGUGAAAAACAGAUGUCAGAACUGAAAUGGAAAGAAAAACUUGAAUAUUAUCCAAAAUUAUCUCUAGUAAUGAGAACCUGCCACAUGUUUUGAUCUCCCCUCCUACCUUGAAUUCAAAUAAAUUCAAUAAAAAGCCUUCUAACAUAUCAACACUGAAAAUUUUAUCACUUAAUUACUUCUUGACUCUAGGUGACAACAUUGGACCAUGACACACUGAAGGUGCAGCAAAUCUGCACAGAUGUUUGUGCAGAACACUUUUUCUUGAUUGCAGUAUAACUGUGACACGCACAAUGACAUGCACAUGAUAUCCUGAGAUAAGCACGGAACUUAUUUCUUUUUGAUAACUUUAUG
rnacentral:lncRNA from 1 species